CAGUAGCCACGGUAACACGUAGGGCGCAAGCGUUAUCCGGAAUUAUUGGGCGUAAAGAGCUCGCAGGCGGUUUGUCGCGUCUGCCGUGAAAGUCCGGGGCUCAACCCCGGAUCUGCGGUGGGUACGGGCAGACUAGAGUGAUGUAGGGGAGACUGGAAUUCCUGGUGUAGCGGUGAAAUGCGCAGAUAUCAGGAGGAACACCGAUGGCGAAGGCAGGUCUCUGGGCAUUAACUGACGCUGAGGAGCGAAAGCGUGGGGAGCAAACAGGAUUAGAUACCCCCGUAGUCCCUGUCUCUUAUAC
rnacentral:rRNA from 1 species